GAUGAACGCUGGCGGCGUGCCUAAUACAUGCAAGUCGAGCGAACGGACGAGAAGCUUGCUUCUCUGAUGUUAGCGGCGGACGGGUGAGUAACACGUGGAUAACCUACCUAUAAGACUGGGAUAACUUCGGGAAACCGGAGCUAAUACCGGAUGAUAUUUUGAACCGCAUGGUUCAAAAGUGAAAGACGGUCUUGCUGUCACUUCUAGAUGGAUCCGCGCUGCAUUAGCUAGUUGGUAAGGUAACGGCUUACCAAGGCAACGAUGCAUAGCCGACCGGAGAGGGUGGUCGGCCACACUGGAACUGAGACGCCGUCCAGACUCCUACGGGAGGCAGCAGUAGGGAAUCGUCCGCAAUGGGCGAAAGCCUGACGGAGCAACGGCGCGUGAGUGAUGAAGGUCUUCGGAUCGUAAAACUCUGUUAUUAGGGAAGAACAUAUGUGUAAGGAACUGUGCACAUCGUGACGGUACCUAAUCAGAAAGCCACGGCUAACUACGUG
rnacentral:rRNA from 1 species